AUUGAACGCUGGCGGCAUGCCUUACACAUGCAAGUCGAACGGCAGCACGGGAGCUUGCUCCUGGUGGCGAGUGGCGAACGGGUGAGUAAUACAUCGGAACGUACCCAGUAGUGGGGGAUAACGCACCGAAAGGUGCGCUAAUACCGCAUACGACCUACGGGUGAAAGCGGGGGACCGUAAGGCCUCGCGCCAUUGGAGCGGCCGAUGUCUGAUUAGCUAGUUGGCGGGGUAAAGGCCCACCAAGGCGACGAUCAGUAGCUGGUCUGAGAGGACGAUCAGCCACACUAGGACUGAGACACGGCCCAGACUCCUACGGGAGGCAGCAGUGGGGAAUUUUGGACAAUGGGGGCAACCCUGAUCCAGCAAUGCCGCGUGUGCGAAGAAGGCCUUCGGGUUGUAAAGCACUUUUGUCAGGGAAGAAAUCUUUCAGGCUAAUACCCUUGGAAGGAUGACGGUACCUGAAGAAUAAGCACCGGCUAACUACGUGCCAGCCGCCGCCGUAA
rnacentral:rRNA from 1 species